CGUGUCAGACGUCGCGACCUGUUCGUCGCCGGUCCUUGCUCGGAGGAAUUGCGAUCGAGUUCGUUGCGGGUGCGUUUCGGCGUAUUCCGCGGCGAAGACGCGACUCUCUGGCUGGCGACGGACAGUAAGCAACGGUGGCCGAUGCCGUGUCUCGCACUCGGCAUCGGUGCCGGUCAGCGACGAUUUCUUCGGGCCUCUUUCCGACCCGUCUUGAAACACGGACCAAGGAGUCUAACAUGCGCGCGAGUCGCGGGGUUUCGAGCGUGCCACGGUGCGCUCGGUACUUCCGAAACCCGUACGUUGAAGGCGUAAUGAAAGUGAACAGGGAAGAUGGCGUUCCGAGUCCACGUACCGUGAUCGAGUAUCGCGGCCGGACGUCCGCACUCCCGGGGCGUCUCAAUGGCUCGACGCGGAUGCGGACGGUCGUCUUUCGGGGCGGCCGUCGGUCUGCGUCGGUCCGAGGCGCACCUAUAGCGUGCACGUUGGUACCCGAAAGAUGGUGAACUAUGCCUGGCCAGGAUGAAGUCAGGGGAAACCCUGAUGGAGGUCCGCAGCGAUUCUGACGUGCAAAUCGAUCGUCUGAGCU
rnacentral:rRNA from 1 species